rnacentral:lncRNA from 1 species
CAUGGCACUAGAGUGUACUAUGGUAUUUAUACGCACACAGAUAAUCCGCAAGCGCACGGAUACCGUUGAAGCUUUUACCUGGUUAAAGGUUUUAUCGUAUCCACAGGGAAACGGGAGAACCAACUACGCUCUAACUUAACCAAGAUAGAUAGAUAGGUGUAAAUAGGAAAGAUGAUAGAUUCGAAUAAGAACAAUAUUAAAGGUAAGAUAACAGUGAGUGAUAAUAUGGGAAUAGAGAAUAGAGCAAUUCUAGUAUAUGGGCGAUGGUAGCAGAAUAGAG